AAUUUGAUCAACCUUUAAUGGUUUAAUUUUUUUUCUGCUUCUUUUUGCAAUUCUAUCAUCACCAAGAGUGUCAAUUACAAAUAAAGCAUCAUUCGGCUUGUGCUCGACAUUUCCACUGUUUUAAGUUAAUAAAAAUAUUUUUAAUUAAUACAAUGCAAAAACUAAUAUACCCUUUUAUUUCCUCAUCUCUAGUCUGCUCUAGACCAGACUCGAUAUCCUCCAAAUCAAUAUUUUUCCUCCAUGCUCGUUUGUUUUUACGAGAUGAUUGUUUAUAUUGAGAAGGUGCAUUCCUCUCUUUGAUUCCCAUCUUUUUAAAAUAAUAGGAUUUCGACUCUCUAAUCUAAUUACUACAAUUAGGAGUGCUUGGCAGAAGGCAAAAUUCUACCACUUGCCAAGCACCUAGUACCGCAGUGCAAAAUUACAUUCUUAAAUUAGUUUUUCAAUAUAAGUGAAUACUCGCCUGGAUAUAUAAUCUAAUUGCAAUGAAAAUGAAAU